rnacentral:tRNA from 3 species
GGAGGAUUCGCCUAGUGGCCUAGGGCGCACGCUUGGAAAGCGUGUUGGUGGCAACGCCUCGCGAGUUCGAAUCUCGCAUCCUCCGCCA